CCGCUUUACAGGUAGAAAAGCAGAGACUAAGAUGGGUAGGAAAUCUUACUAUCCUUUAUUUCUACUUUUCACAUUCAUUUUUCAUUCAUGUUUGAUUUAUGAGGUGGCUGGUGAUCAUGAUCCAUUGGUUGAAUUACAAAGGGAAGCAUUGGAAGAAAGGGAAGCAUUGGAGAUAAUCAUUGGCGGCGGCGGUGGUGGCUAUGCUCCUGCUCCUUCUCCUGAAAAUGAGGAAUGCCCGCCUCCACCGCCUCCAGAACCCAUCUGUCCCCCACCACCGCCACCAUCGCCACCUCCUCCUUUUGCUCCCCCACCGGCAAAAUAUCCCCCAAACAUUUUAAGGGAUUAUAAAACAAUUCAGAAAUUCAAGCAAACAAUAACGAUCGACCCCAUGGGCGUGACAAAAUCAUGGGUAGGCUAUAAUGUCUGUCAUAAAUAUCAGGGCUUUAAUUGUGCUUCAAGGCCUGACACUGGUGUACCAUCUGUGGCUGCAAUAAACUUCAACGGCUACAACUUUAGUGGCCCUGAUUUUCAGAUUCAAGGUUUCGUUGAUAAAUUGUUGGACUUGUCUAUCUUCCACGCAAACUCCAACGGUUUCAAUGGAAAUGUGCCCAAUGAAUUAGAUGUUCAAAACAUCAAUUUCUUAUUCGAGCUCGAUCUAAGCAACAACAAGUACACGGGUGGAUUCCCCAUGUCAGUUCUUGGUGCCAAAAACUUGACCUUCUUAGACAUCAGGUUCAACUCAUUUUCCGGGCCAGUUCCAAGACGAGUGUUCAAUCUAGACCUGGACGUGCUUUUCCUCAACAACAACAAUUUCAGUCAACAACUUCCUGAUAAUGUUGGCUCUACCUCUGCCUUAUAUCUCACUUUCGCUUACAACUUGUUCACUGGGCCUAUUCCAAACAGCAUUGGCAGAGCUAAAAGACUACGCGAGGUGCUUUUACUGGGCAACAACUUCUCAGGAUGCUUGCCAUACGAGAUUGGUUUCUUGAAAACAGCCACUGUGUUUGAUGCGAGCUGCAACAAGCUGACUGGCCCAAUACCGCACUCAUUUGCCUGCUUGACGAAGAUACAGAUCCUGAACCUGGCUACGAAUGAGUUUUACGGGCCGGUGCCGGAGAUGGUGUGCAAGCUUCCAAAUCUGCAAAACUUGUCAUUAUCAGGCAACUAUUUCACUCAGGUCGGACCUGAGUGCAGGAAGUUGAUUUGGAUGAAGAGGCUUGAUGUUAGAAAGAACUGCAUUUUAGACCUUCCAAAUCAAAGAACAGCACAAGAGUGUAGAGAAUUCUUCUCCAAGCCCAGGAAAUGUCCUAAUGAGAAGUCACUCACCAUUGUUCCUUGCAGUAAGAACUAUGGCAACGCAGCAGCCGAGUUUGAUCAACAAUCAACGGUUGCUGCAACACCUAUAUCAUAUGAUGCUCUUUCGCCACAAAAUAAGUUACGAUUUUAAUUUUUAAGGAGACCCAUUUAAGACUUGUCUUCUCGAUGGGCAUUGUGGCUCUGCAUUCAAAUAUAGACUUGAUUUCCAAAUUGCUGAUGAUUUGUAUAAUGAAUAAUUAAUCCAAGUAACCAGUGACUCUAGGUCAAUGGUACUAGGUCGUUUUCGAAGUCUUGAUUUUAAAUUCCAAGCAUAUUGUAACAAUAAUAAUAGUAAUAAAUCAGUCCAUGUAAUUAAUUAAGUCAAUUCUGCCUUCAAGCAAAUGCAAUUUCCUAGUUUUAAUGAUAUUUCCACUUCUCUGCUUUCUGUCUCAUUUCCAGCUUCUGGGCGGGAAUUCCUACUCCAUUUUGAGGUCAAUCAUUAUAUGAGUACUGGCAAUGAAUGGAAACCUUAAAAUAAGUAUUUCAAUCUUGUUCUCAACUUAGGCUUGUUUGUUAUCCUUAAUAAAACUACCAUGAUUUGGAUUUUU
rnacentral:misc_RNA from 1 species